AUUGAACGCUGGCGGCAGGCCUAACACAUGCAAGUCGAACGAGUGGCGGACGUGUGUGAAAUGUCUGGGACACUGCCUGAUGGAGGGGGAUAACUACUGGAAACGGUAGCAAAUCCCGCAUACUCUCAGAUGUGCCUAGAGGGGAUGCGCUUGUUGGUGGGGUAAAGGCUCACAAAGGCGACGAUCCCUCGCUGGUCUGAGAGGAUGACCAGCCACACUGGAACUGAGACACGGUCCAGACUCCUACGGGAGGCAGCAGUGGGGAAUUUUGCACAAUGGGCGCAAGCCUGAUCCAGCCAUGCCGCGUGUAUGAUGAAGGCCUUCGGGUUGUAAAGUACUUUCAGCGGAGAGGCGUUACCCGCAGAAGAAGCACCGGCUAACUCCGUGCCAGCAGCCGCGGUAAUUC
rnacentral:rRNA from 1 species